GACAUAUUGUCGAAGCAUAUUCACAAUCUGGAAAGUUGUCGAACUAUCCAAACCAGUGGAUAUCUCGUCCAUGAAAAGCGCCUUCGCUGGGCCAACCAGCAUUUCUCCUGUGAUUUCCCAAACCAGUCAGUGUCAGUGUAAAUACCCCUUAUCAUCUCGUCUCCGACUAAUGUGUCGGCACAUAUUUCAAGCCCCAGAACCUAGAGAAACAACAAGAGAACCAUGAGAAGACUGAGCUGUUGGAAUUGUCAGAAUGGUCAUAAAACUUUGAGUUUAAUCUCUGCUCCAGUUCUGCCAACAUAUCUGCUCAACAAAUCCAAACAAGACAACACUCAACUUCAAAACAAAAAAAAUACUUGAAUUUUACUGGUCAUGCUGGCUUAUGUAUGCUGCAGUUCUUUGAGGUACGAAUUCGUGCAUUUCGUGACCAUUUUUGGACCAGCCUCUCGAUGAGCUGCUUCUUGUCCUGGAUUCCGAGAUCAUGCACAUCAACCUCGUUGGCGCCUCUGGACCCGAGCAGCAAGCCUCUCCUCAGGCGAUCAAACGUGGGCAGCUUCUCGAGCGCAGCCC